GAUGAACGCUGGCGGCGUGCCUAAUACAUGCAAGUCGAGCGAACGGACGAGAAGCUUGCUUCUCUGAUGUUAGCGGCGGACGGGUGAGUAACACGUGGAUAACCUACCUAUAAGACUGGGAUAACUUCGGGAAACCGGAGCUAAUACCGGAUAAUAUUUUGAACCGCAUGGUUCAAAAGUGAAAGACGGUCUUGCUGUCACUUAUAGAUGGAUCCGCGCUGCAUUAGCCAGUUGGUAAGGUAACGGCUUACCAAGGCAACGAUGCAUAGCCGACCUGAGAGGGUGAUCGGCCACACUGGAACUGAGACACGGUCCAGACUCCUACGGGAGGCAGCAGUAGGGAAUCUUCCGCAAUGGGCGAAAGCCAGACGGAGCAACGCCGCGUGAGUGAUGAAGGUCUUCGGAUCGUAAAACUCUGUUAUUAGGGAAGAACAUAUGUGUAAGUAACUGUGCACAUCUUGACGGUACCUAAUCAGAAAGCCACGGCUAACUACGUGCCAGCAGCCGCGGUAAUACGUAGGUGGCAAGCGUUAUCCGGAAUUAUUGGGCGUAAAGCGCGCGUAGGCGGUUUUUUAAGUCUGAUGUGAAAGCCCACGGCUCAACCGUGGAGGGUCAUUGGAAACUGGAAAACUUGAGUGCAGAAGAGGAAAGUGGAAUUCCAUGUGUAGCGGUGAAAUGCGCAGAGAUAUGGAGGACCACCAGUGGCGAAGGCGACUUUCUGGUCUGUAACUGACGCUGAUGUGCGAAAGCGUGGGGAUCAAACAGGAUUAGAUACCCUGGUAGUCCACGCCGUAAACGAUGAGUGCUAAGUGUUAGGGGGUUUCCGCCCCUUAGUGCUGCAGCUAACGCAUUAAGCACUCCGCCUGGGGAGUACGACCGCAAGGUUGAAACUCAAAGGAAUUGACGGGGACCCGCACAAGCGGUGGAGCAUGUGGUUUAAUUCGAAGCAACGCGAAGAACCUUACCAAAUCUUGACAUCCUUUGACAACUCUAGAGAUAGAGCCUUCCCCUUCGGGGGACAAAGUGACAGGUGGUGCAUGGUUGUCGUCAGCUCGUGUCGUGAGAUGUUAGGUUAAGUCCCGCAACGAGCGCAACCCUUAAGCUUAGUUGCCAUCAUUAAGUUGGGCACUCUAAGUUGACUGCCGGUGACAAACCGGAGGAAGGUGGGGAUGACGUCAAAUCAUCAUGCCCCUUAUGAUUUGGGCUACACACGUGCUACAAUGGACAAUACAAAGGGCAGCGAAACCGCGAGGUCAAGCAAAUCCCAUAAAGUUGUUCUCAGUUCGGAUUGUAGUCUGCAACUCGACUACAUGAAGCUGGAAUCGCUAGUAAUCGUAGAUCAGCAUGCUACGGUGAAUACGUUCCCGGGUCU
rnacentral:rRNA from 1 species